UACGAAGGGGGCUAGCGUUGUUCGGAAUUACUGGGCGUAAAGCGCACGUAGGCGGAUUGUUAAGUUAGGGGUGAAAUCCCAGGGCUCAACCCUGGAACUGCCUUUAAUACUGGCAAUCUCGAGUCCGAGAGAGGUGAGUGGAAUUCCGAGUGUAGAGGUGAAAUUCGUAGAUAUUCGGAGGAACACCAGUGGCGAAGGCGGCUCACUGGCUCGGUACUGAC
rnacentral:rRNA from 1 species